ACGAACGCUGGCGGCAUGCCUAACACAUGCAAGUCGAGCGCCCGUAGCGAUACGGGAGCGGCGCACGGGUGAGUAACGCGUGGGAACCUGCCUUGAGGUUCGGGACAACCGCGGGAAACUGCGGCUGAUACCGGAUGAUGUUUUCGAACCAAAGAUUUAUCGCCUUGAGAGGGGCCCGCGUCGGAUUAGGUAGUUGGUGAGGUAACGGCUCACCAAGCCUUUGAUCCGUAACUGGUCUGAGAGGAUGGCCAGUCACACUGGGACUGAGACACGGCCCAGACUCCUACGGGAGGCAGCAGUGGGGAGUAUUGGACAAUGGGGGCAACCCUGAUCCAGCAAUGCCGCGUGGGUGAUGAAGGCCUUCGGGUUGUAAAGCCCUUUCGGCGGGGACGAUGAUGACGGUACCCGCAGAAGAAGCCCCGGCUAACUUCGU
rnacentral:rRNA from 1 species